rnacentral:rRNA from 1 species
AAUGAACGUUGGCGGCGUGGAUUAGGCAUGCAAGUCGAACGCGAGAGUAUCCUUCGGGAUACUAGUAGCGUGGCGAAAGGGGCAGUAAUACAUGGGCAAUCUACCCUCGGGACCGGGAUAUACGAUGGAAACGUCGUGCAAUACUGGACGUCGUCCUUGAUCGGCAUCGAUCGAAGACGAAAUGGUCAGCCGCCCGGGGAGGAGCUCAUGUCCUAUCAGCUUGUUGGUGAGGUAACGGCUCACCAAGGCUACGACGGGUAGGGGGUGUGAGAGCAUGACCCCCGUCACUGGCACUGAGACACUGGCCAGACUCCUACGGGAGGCUGCAGUCGAGAAUCUUCGGCAAUGGGCGCAAGCCUGACCGAGCGACGCCGCGUGGAGGAUGAAGGCCUUCGGGUUGUAAACUCCUGUUGGGGGGGCUCAAAUCAAUGAGAUAUCCCCUGAGGAAGCACGGGCUAAGUUCGUG